UACGUAGGGGGCAAGCGUUGUCCGGAUUUAUUGGGCGUAAAGAGCGUGUAGGCGGUUAGGUAGGUCCGUUGUGAAAACUCGAGGCUCAACCUCGAGACGCCGAUGGAAACCCCCUAACUAGAGUCCGGAAGAGGAGAGUGGAAUUCCAGGUGUAGUGGUGAAAUACGUAGAUAUCUGGAGGAACACCGGUGGCGAAGGCGGCUACCUGGCCCAACAUUGACACUGAGACCCGAAAGCGUGGGGAUCAAACAGG
rnacentral:rRNA from 1 species